GUUUGAUCCUGGCUCAGAACGAACGCUGGCGGCGGGGUUUAGGCAUGCAAGUCGCGCGCGAAAGGUUUCGACCGAGUAGAGCGGCGGAAGGGUGAGUACAAGCUCGUUGACGUACCGUUUGGACGCGGAUAGCCCGGCGAAAGCUGGAGUAAGACGCGAUGGGACCACGCUUAUUACGGUAGGUGUGGUGAAAGUGCAGGGAACCUUCGGGUCCUGCAGCCGAAUGAGCGGACGAGCCCCGAUUAGCUAGUUGGCGGGGUAACGGCCCACCAAGGCGAUGAUCGGUAGCCGGCCUGAGAGGGUGUCCGGCCACACUGGGACUGAGAACUGCCCAGACUCCUACGGGAGGCUGCAGUCGCGAAUCUUCCACAAUGGGCGCAAGCCUGAUGGAGCCACGCCGCGUGCAGGAGGACGGCCUUCGGGUUGUAAACUGCUGUUGCACGAGGGGAACGUACGGAGGUUGAACAGACGCCGUAUUGACUGCUCGAGCGAGGAAGCCCCGGCAAAACACGUGCCAGCAGCCGCGGUAAUACGUGUGGGGCAAGCGUUGUUCGGAAUUACUGGGCAUAAAGGGUGCGUAGGCGGCUGUGUAAGUCGGGGGUGAAAGUUCCGGGCCCAACCCGGAGACUGCCUUCGAUACUGCGGAGCUUGAGUGCGUGAGAGGUUGGGGGAACGAGCGGUGUAGCGGUGAAAUGCGUAGAUAUCGCUCGGAACGCCGGAGCUGAAGAGUCCCAACUGGCACGUAACUGACGCUGAGGCACGAAAGCGUGGGGAUCAAACAGGAUUAGAUACCCUGGUAGUCCACGCCGUAAACGAUGAGCACUAGAUGGAUGUUCGUCAUGGAUGUCUGUCGGAGGAAAUUCGGUAAGUGCUCCGCCUGGGGAGUAUGGUCGCAAGGCUGAAACUCAAAGGAAUUGACGGGGGCUCACACAAGCGGUGGAGGAUGUGGUUUAAUUCGAAGCAACGCGAAGAACCUUACCAGGUCUUGACAUGCAUGGAUUAGUCUCUUGAAAGGGAGAUGACAUCGCAAGAUGGAACAUGCACAGGUGCUGCAUGGCUGUCGUCAGCUCGUGCCGUGAGGUGUUCGGUUAAGUCCUUUAACGAGCGAAACCCCUACGUCUAGUUACUACGCAAGAGGACUCUAGACGGACUGCCGCGUGCAAGUUGGAGGAAGGUGGGGACGACGUCAAGUCAUCAUGGCCCUUAUGACCUGGGCUACACACGUCCUACAAUGGCCGGUACAGAGGGAAGCGAAGCCGCGAGGUGGAGCGGAUCCCAGAAAGCCGGCCCCAGUUCAGAUUGCAGGCUGCAAUUCGCCUGCAUGAAGCCGGAAUCGCUAGUAAUCGCAGGUCAGCUACACUGCGGUGAAUAUGUUCCUGAGCCUUGUACACACCGCCCGUCAAGCCACCCGAAUUGGUCGCACCCGAAGUCGCAGCCCCAACCGUAAGGAGGAGCGCGCCGAAGGUGAGGCUGGUAAGGGGGACUAAGUCGUAACAAGGUAGCCGUAUCGGAAGGUGCGGCUGGAUCACCUCCUUUCU
rnacentral:rRNA from 1 species